ACGACCUCAGAGCAGGCGAGACUACC
rnacentral:rRNA from 1 species